rfam:Oryza glaberrima chromosome 12 Oglab12_0214_28, whole genome shotgun sequence.
AACCACACUAUCAAUGAAUGGAUGCACCCGUGAUAUGACAUAGUUGUUCCACUUAGGACAAGGACGUGGCCUAUUACCAGCUAUCGCACGAAAUUAAUAGGAUGCCACAUCCUUAUCCUAGGUGAAACAACCACUUCAUAUCAUGGACGAAUCCAUUCAUUAAUAGUGUGGUG